GGGGAAUAUUGCGCAAUGGGGGAAACCCUGACGCAGCAACGCCGCGUGCGGGAUGAAGGCCUUCGGGUUGUAAACCGCUUUCAGCAGGGACGACGGGUUUCUGACGGUACCUGCAGAAGAAGCCCCGGCUAACUACGUGCCAGCAGCCGCGGUAAUACGUAGGGGGCGAGCGUUGUCCGGAAUUACUGGGCGUAAAGGGAGCGUAGGCGGUCGAUUAAGUUGGAUGUGAAAUACCCGGGCUUAACUUGGGGGGUGCAUCCAAUACUGGUUGACUAGAGUACAGGAGAGGAAAGCGGAAUUCCUAGUGUAGCGGUGAAAUGCAUAGAUAUUAGGAGGAACAUCGGUGGCGAAGGCGGCUUUCUGGACUGACACUGACGCUGAGGUGCGAAAGCGUGGGGAGCAAACA
rnacentral:rRNA from 1 species